rnacentral:rRNA from 1 species
UACGUAGCAGCGAGCGUUGUUCGGAGUUACUGGGCGUAAAGGGUGUGUAGGCGGUUGUUUAAGUUUGGUGUGAAAUUUCCCGGCUCAACUGGGAGGGUGCGCCGAAUACUGAAUGACUCGAGUGUGGGAGAGGUGAGUGGAAUUCCUGGUGUAGCGGUGAAAUGCGUAGAUAUCAGGAGGAACACCGGUGGUGUAGACGGCUCACUGGACCAUAACUGACGCUGAGACACGAAAGCGUGGGUAGCAAACAGG